GUGGGGAAUUUUGGACAAUGGGCGCAAGCCUGAUCCAGCAAUGCCGCGUGCAGGAAGAAGGCCUUCGGGUUGUAAACUGCUUUUGUACGGAACGAAAAGGCUCUGGUUAAUACCUGGGGCUCAUGACGGUACCGUAAGAAUAAGCACCGGCUAACUACGUGCCAGCAGCCGCGGUAAUACGUAGGGAGCAAGCGUUAAUCGGAAUUACUGGGCGUAAAGCGUGCGCAGGCGGUUUUGUAAGACAGACGUGAAAUCCCCGGGCUCAACCUGGGAAUGGCGUUUGUGACUGCAAAGCUGGAGUGCGGCAGAGGGGGAUGGAAUUCCGCGUGUAGCAGUGAAAUGCGUAGAUAUGCGGAGGAACACCGAUGGCGAAGGCAAUCCCCUGGGCCUGCACUGACGCUCAUGCACGAAAGCGUGGGGAGCAAACAGGAUUAGAUACCCGGGUAGUCC
rnacentral:rRNA from 1 species